rnacentral:ncRNA from 21 species
UUCCAGCAUCAGGAGUGUCCUGGCCGCUUUAAGCCAGGUCCGGCAACCGAGCUUUGGAGACGCUACGGUGCCACGAGUCGCAAGACUCAAUGUGCGGACGAAAGUCCGAAAGGAUGUCUCCCGA